AUUGAACGCUGGCGGCAGGCCUAACACAUGCAAGUCGAGCGGAUGAGGGUAGCUUGCUAUCUGAUUCAGCGGCGGACGGGAGAGUAAUGCCUAGGAAUCUGCCUGGUAGUGGGGGACAACGUUUCGAAAGGAACGCUAAUACCGCAUACGUCCUACGGGAGAAAGUGGGGGAUCUUCGGACCUCACGCUAUCAGAUGAGCCUCGGUACGAUUAGCUAGUUGGUGAGGUAAAGGCUCACCAAUGCGACGAUCGUUAACUGGUCUGAGAGGAUGAUCAGUCACACUGGAACUGAGACACGGUCCAGACUCCUACGGGAGGCAGCAGUGGGGAAUAUUGGACAAUGGGCGAAAGCCUGAUCCAGCCAUGCCGCGUGUGUGAAGAAGGUCUUCGGAUUGUAAAGCACUUUAAGUUGGGAGGAAGGGCAGUAAGUUAAUACCUUGCUGUUUUGACGUUACCGACAGAAUAAGCACCGGCUAACUUCGUGCCAGCCGCCGCAGUAACAC
rnacentral:rRNA from 1 species